rnacentral:misc_RNA from 1 species
AACGCACAUUGCGCCCGCCAGUAUUCUGGCGGGCAUGCCUGUCCGAGCGUCAUCUCAACCCUCAAGCCCUGCUUGGUGUUGGGGACCGGCCCGCUGGGAAACCCCCUCCCUUCCCCUCCACGGGGGGAGGGAGGGAACCAGAGCGGCGCCGCCCCCGAAAUGAAUUGGCGGCCUCGCAGCGGCCUCCUCCGCGCAGUAGCACACACCUCGCGGCGGGAGAGCGGCGCGGCCACUGCCGUAAAACGCCCGCACAAGGUCACCCUUCAAGUUGACCUCGGAUCAGGUAGGACUACCCGCUGAACUUAA